UGGGGAAUAUUGGACAAUGGGCGCAAGCCUGAUCCAGCCAUGCCGCGUGAGUGAUGAAGGCCCUAGGGUUGUAAAGCUCUUUCAACGGUGAAGAUAAUGACGGUAACCGUAGAAGAAGCCCCGGUUAACUUCGUGCCAGCAGCCGCGGUAAUACGAAGGGGGCUAGCGUUGUUCGGAAUUACUGGGCGUAAAGCGCACGUAGGCGGAUCGGUCAGUUAGGGGUGAAAUCCCAGGGCUCAACCCUGGAACUGCCUUUAAUACUGCCGAUCUGGAGUCCGGAAGAGGUGAGUGGAAUUCCGAGUGUAGAGGUGAAAUUCGUAGAUAUUCGGAGGAACACCAGUGGCGAAGGCGGCUCACUGGUCCGGUACUGACGCUGAGGUGCGAAAGCGUGGGGAGCAAACA
rnacentral:rRNA from 1 species